CGGCCCGCGGCACCGCGCGGUGCCGUGCCUGGCCCGGCCGGGCUCCCGCCACCCUUCCGUGCCUCCUCGCGUCGGUGGCAGGUGCCGGUGCGGCAGAGCCCUCAGCUCCCCCGGGCUCUGGGCGCUGCCCGGCCCGCCGGGAGUUUGUUAUCAUCUAAAGACCGAAUAUGGACCCUGAAAGUGAAAUAAAGAAGCAAAUAAACCCCUUUUACUGCAAUAUUUGCAAAAUCUGGUGUUCUUCUGCAUUAAACUUGCAGACUCAUUUCCUUGGAACAAAACACAGGACGGUUGAAGAAGCCCUGAAAACUCAUGGCAUGCUUAAAACAGAAAGUUGCUUAGGAAAGAAAUUGAAAACACCUGGGAAACUUGCUGAUUUUGAAAGUUGCUUAGGAAAGAAAGUGAAAACAGCUGCGAAACUUCCUGAUUUUGUGCCACUUGAACCAGAGAAGUUGCAUGGACAGACAUUGGAAGACCAGCUUAAUACGUGUAAAGAUUCAGAACCUGCACUUGGACUUAAUUACAUAAUAGAAUACCGAACAAAAGACAAUGUUCCUUUUCUCUAUGAAUGUCAACUAUGCUACUGUAAAACAGGACUGAGUAACAUGUUCAUGCAUGUUUGUGGUUCCAAGCACAGACUGGCAUACUUGAGACAACAUUAUCCAGAGAUAGCACAAUCUGAUGAAGUUAAGGGUAAAGGCUCUGAACUGAACAAAAAAGUUAGGCAAAUUGGAUUAACAAUUGAGAAGAAAGAAGGAAGAAAACAAAUACAGGUUGUUAUAGGUGUUCCAACAAUGAGAAGGAAAUGGCAAGAAUCUCUCAGUGCAGAGGACAGCCCUUCAAAAGCUAAAGUUCAGCAUGUGGAUGUGCCCCUUAGUAAUGCAGAAAAAACAGAUAAUAAGGAUGGGAAACUGACAGACUCUGCACAAGAUGAAAAUAACGUUCAGGAGGUGAAUGAAGAAAGGCAGAAAGAACAGGCAAAACCAGAUGAAAAAGUUGAACCUAAUAAUGCUAUUGAAAUCAGCCAAGGCAACAACUCAGAAUGGUGUGAGACCAAUAAACAAUCAGAGGAAGAAAACAAGGAAGCUCAGCAAGAAUUUACAGCAGAUCCUGAAGAAUUCACUAGUAAAGAAGAACUGUUGGGUUAUUUGCAAAGUUUUGAGAUACUGAAUGAAGAUGAUGCUUCAUUUAUCCUGAAAGUUACACAGACUCUCACUAAUGCACUGGUGGAAUAUCGUCAGCAGGCUGCCUCAAACAAAGACCACUUAGGUGCUGGAUAUAAUGGAGAAGCAGAACUAGAAUAUUCCACAGAACAGCCUGGCCCAACUUCAGCAGAUAUUAAUGACUCUGACACUGACUACUCAAGCAGCUGGUCAGCUAAGCAGUUCUUACCAGCCAAUGAAGAUGAACCCCAGAACUUUUCAACUGGCUCUUUGGAAACAGCUUAUGAGAACAACAUCACGACUGAGUUUUUGAACAGUGUAAGAAACAUGAACGCUGAGGAAGUUACUGACACCCUACACAGAAUAGCAGCAUCAAAUCCAGCUUUCAGAGGAAUUGAUAUACCAAAUGUUAUCAGGAUCCUGACUGAAAGUGGAACUCUGAGGGGACCAAGCAAUGGCAGCACACAGUGACAUGGUACUUAAUAAUGUAGCAAUCUUUGCUUUCUCUGAAAGUUCUGUAUUGUGGAAAGGUUGUAAAGCUCAUGAUCAUUCUUUCUGUGUUAAAACAGCUUUUUAAACAGAUCUGGAUGGAAUUUGAGAAUCUUCAUCUUGUGAUGGUUUCACAUCUUCAUACCAUGGAGUGCAAGAUGCAGUAAAACUAAGGUAACAAAGAAAGCACCAACAAAAUUUAUGAGUUUUAUUAUAUGAACAGACCCAGGAAGGAAAACUUUUCAUAGAAAAAUUAAAACACUGCGUUUUAAAGAAGCUCUGAGGAAUUUCUGGGAUGCAUCUAAAUCUGUUCUUAUCAGAGGCAGAGAUGGAACCAGAGUUCUUACAGUUCAUUUAUUCUGCAUAGGAACAGUUUUAAUGCCUGCUUAAUGGAGGUGAACUUAAUCAGUAAAAAUUCUGAAUUCUGAAAGUAAAAAUAGAAACAUCUUUUUCCUGCUUGUUUUCAAGAUGAAGAACAAUCUUUGUAUUAAAAAAACAAAAUCAGAAUAUUUAGCUGUUGUAAAUGGCCAUCUCUGAGAAAGCUUCUUUUUCCUCUUACUAUGGAAUCAUUCCAAGUGGAAACAAAGUUACAAUAAAGCUGAAAUAACUUGGGUUUGAGGUGGAUUUUUUUGCUUGGGUGUAGGAGGAGCAUGCUGAAAAAGGAGAGACCCCUAAAUCUGUAGUACACUGACAUAUAAUGGUUGAAUGGUGUGCUGCAGAGCGCUGCUGUACCCCUCAGAGACAGCUGAGAAACCUGAACUGGGUAAGAGUCAUCAAGUGUAUGCUCCUGGAAAUGUUUUCAAAGAACACAGUCCAACAUAGUCCAUUCAGCUGUACAAUUAUUUUUAUUUUUUCCUUUCUCACUUGGUGCAAAUAGAGGCUGAAGAGCAUUGUAUUAUUUUAUUCUUGUAUCUGCCUCUGUUUUGUGAUGGCUUAGUGUGUUCUUAUACUAAUGGAAAACUGUAUAUUUGUUCCAAAACACAUGUUUUACCUGUGCCAGUAUUGCACAGUAAGGGAAAAAAAGGCAUUAUCUUUAUUCAUAAUAUUUAAACAAUGCUGUUGGCUGGAUUUAAUAUUAUACAUUUUUGGUUUCUCACCAUAACAGCAAGGCAGACUUCUGAGGUAACUGGAGAACUAAUAAAAGCUCAGCAGUAACAAAAAUUAAACCAAGAGAAAAUUUAUUUUCUGUAAAGCUUCAUCUAGGUUUUACAUAUUUUACUGAGACCAGAGAGCUUUGAGGAAUUAUUUUUAACAAAAAGCUGCAGAACUCCUACUCCUCACAGAAGGCAGAAAGGGGAAGGGACAAGGGUGUUCACAGGUUAAUUGAUAAGAAAUGAACAGUACAGAGCAUGCAACUGCAGAGUUACUGUCUCAUGCGAAUCGAGACAUUGUUGUAGACUGGUGUGGAAACAUCCUCAUCUGUUUGAAGUUUGUUGCCUCCUGGGUCUCCCAGGGUUUUGCACUAUCUUUCUGAUGUGGGAAUUCAUUACCCCGUUGGAGCAGCAAGCUUUAUGUGGGUACACACGUACAAAAGCGUGCAGCAUGCCUCGUGGUUUAUAUGUGAAAUAGUAACAAUAACCUCAAAUGCCAGUGCUGAAUCUGCAGUGCCUUCACUGGAAGAAUCACAGAAUCAUUUAGGUUGGAAAAGGCCUCAGAUCAAGC